rnacentral:rRNA from 1 species
UACGGAGGGUGCGAGCGUUGUCCGGAAUCACUGGGCGUAAAGGGCGCGUAGGCGGCUCGUUAAGUCAGGGGUGAAAGCCCAGGGCUCAACUCUGGGUCGGCCACUGAUACUCGCGAGCUCGAGUUUGGUAGAGGCAGAUGGAAUUCCGGGUGUAGCGGUGGAAUGCGUAGAGAUCCGGAAGAACACCGGUGGCGAAGGCGGUCUGCUGGGCCAAGACUGACGCUGAGGCGCGACAGCGUGGGGAGCAAACAGG